rnacentral:rRNA from 1 species
GAAAGUAAAUAAGGGCGCAUGGCGGAUGCCUUGGCUCUCGGAGGCGAUGAAGGACGUGAUAAGCUGCGAUAAGCUUUGGGGAGGUGCAAAUGACCUUUGAUCCAGAGAUUUCCGAAUGGGACAACCCAAUAUCUUGAAGAGGUAUUAUCCAACGUUGUUGGAGGCUAACGCAGGGAACUGAAACAUCUUAGUACCUGCAGGAAAAGAAAAUAAACAAUGAUUCCCCCAGUAGUGGCGAGCGAACGGGGAACAGCCCAAACCAUCCAUGUUACGGCAUGGGUGGGGUUGUAGGACUACGCCGUUGCAUGAAGACAUCAGAGAAGAACUUUCUGGAAAGAAAGACCAUAGAGCAUGACAGUUGCGUAUUCGAAUGUUGUCGAAGCAUAGUAGUAUCCUGAGUAGCGCGGAGCACGAGGAAUUCUGCGUGAAUCUGCCGGGACCAUCCGGUAAGGCUAAAUACUCCCGAGAGACCGAUAGCGAACCAGUACCGUGAGGGAAAGGUGAAAAGCACUUCGAACAGAAGAGUGAAAUAGUUCCUGAAACCGUGCGCCUACAAGCGGUCGGAGCUCGUUAAUGAGUGACGGCGUGCCUUUUGCAUAAUGAACCUACGAGUUGCCUUUGCCGGCAAGGUUAAGUGUGACGACACACGUAUCCGAAGCGAAAGCGAGUCUGAACAGGGCGUAUAGUCGGCAGUGGCAGACGCGAAACCAAGUGAUCUACCCUUGGCCAGGUUGAAGGCUGGGUAACACCAGCUGGAGGACCGCACCAAUAAGCGUUGAAAAGCUUCUGGAUGAGCUGAGGGUAGGGGUGAAAGGCUAAUCAAACUUGGAGAUAGCUCGUACUCCCCGAAAUGCAUUUAGGUGCAGCCUUGCGGGUUACUGAUGUGAGGUAGAGCGACUGAUAAGAUGCGAGGGCUUCACCGCCUAUCAAGUCUUGACAAACUCCGAAUGCGCAUCAGUUCUACCGCAGGAGUGAGGGCAUGGGUGCUAAGGUCCGUGCCCGAGAGGAGAAGAAUCCGGACCACCUGCUAAGGUCCCGAAAUGACAGCUAAGUUAAACUAACGAAGUCUGACUGCUAAGACAGCUAGGAUGUUGGCUUGGAAGCAGCCAUUCAUUUAAAGAGUGCGUAACAGCUCACUAGUCGAGGAGUCGGGCGUGGAUAAUAAUCGGGUAUCAAGUUGUCUACCGAAGCAGUGGGAUCAUUAAUAUGAUCGGUAGGGGAGCAUUCCAGUCAGCGUCGAAGGCGUACCGUGAGGUAUUCUGGAGCGUCUGGAAAAGCAAAUGUAGGUAUAAGUAACGAUAAAGGGGGCGGGAAACCCCCUCGCCGAAAGACUAAGGUUUCCUGAUCAACGCUAAUCGGAUCAGGGUCAGUCGGGUCCUAAGGCUCAGCCGAACGGCGAUGCCGAUGGCAGAAACGGUUAAUAUUCCGUUACUACCUUCAGGAGUGACGUGGAGACGCAGUAGUGACAGUGCCGCCAUCUGACGGAAUAGAUGGUUGAAGGGUGUAGGAGUCGAUCAUGGCAGGCAAAUCCACCAUGAGAUCCGAACCUGAUAGUAUGCCGCGUCCUUCGGGACAAGGCAAUAGUGCGCGUAAGCAUGCUGCCGAGAAAAUCCGCUAAACUUAAUCCUGCAGGUACCCGUACCGCAAACGGACACACGUAGUCGGGUUGAAUAUACUAAGGCGCUUGAGUGAUUCACGGUUAAGGAACUAGGCAAAUUGACCCUGUAACUUCGGGAUAAAGGGUCCCUACCCUUUUAUGGGAGGGCGCAGAGAAUCGGUCCAGGCAACUGUUUAACAAAAACACAGGGCUGUGCCAAAUCGAAAGAUCCAGUAUACAGCCUGACACCUGCCCGGUGCUGGAAGGUUAAGAGGAGAUGUCAUCGAUAAGAGAAGCGUUGAAUUGAAGCCCCAGUAAACGGCGGCCGUAACUAUAACGGUCCUAAGGUAGCGAAAUUCCUUGUCGGGUAAGUUCCGACCCGCACGAAAGGCGUAAUGAUUUGGGCACUGUCUCGACAAUGCACCCGGUGAAAUUGAAAUACCAGUGAAGAUGCUGGUUACCUGCGCCAGGACGGAAAGACCCCAUGGAGCUUUACUCUAGCUUGAUACUGGGAUUCGAUAUUGUAUGUACAGGAUAGGUGGGAGGCGAAGAAGCAUUGACGCCAGUUGAUGCGGAGCCGCUGUUGGGAUACCACCCUUGCAGUAUUGGGUUUCUAACAUGUGCCCGUGACCCGGGCAGUGGACAAUGUCAGGCGGGGAGUUUGACUGGGGCGGUCGCCUCCGAAAGGGUAUCGGAGGCGCUCAAAGGUUCCCUCAGAAUGGUCGGAAACCAUUCGAAGAGUGCAAAGGCAGAAGGGAGCUUGACUGCGACACCGACGGGUGGAGCAGGUACGAAAGUAGGACUUAGUGAUCCGGUGGUAUAAAGUGGGAUUGCCAUCGCUCAACGGAUAAAAGCUACCCUGGGGAUAACAGGCUUAUCACUCCCAAGAGUUCACAUCGACGGAGUGGUUUGGCACCUCGAUGUCGGCUCAUCGCAUCCUGGGGCUGUAGUAGGUCCCAAGGGUUGGGCUGUUCGCCCAUUAAAGCGGUACGCGAGCUGGGUUCAGAACGUCGUGAGACAGUUCGGUCCCUAUCUGUCGUGGGCGCAGGAUAUUUGAUGGGAGCUGUCCCUAGUACGAGAGGACCGGGACGGACGUACCUCUGGCGCACCAGUUGUUCCGCCAGGAGCAUAGCUGGGCAACUACGUACGGAUCGGAUAAACGCUGAAAGCAUCUAAGCGUGAAGCCGACCCAAAGAUAAGAUAUCCCACUGAUUUAAUCGGGUAAGAUCCCUUGAAGACUACAAGGUUGAUAGGCACAAUGUGUAAGUGGAGUGAUCCAUUCAGCAAGCGUGUACUAAUAGGUCGAGGGCUUGACCCC